CGCGCACGAGGGGUCGAGUGGUCCUCACAUAGUUUGUGUGGGGUAAAUCCAGGGAACUAGUCCCGGCACCGGGUAACCCCCGCCCACGUUAUGUCUAAUUAAGUGCACUUUAUUCGCAUGAUGAUGAAAGAACCAGCGCAUAUAAGUGUGUCACGCUUGAAGAGGUCUGUCAUUGUCUCCUCCUGUCCCAGUCGACGUUUGUUUGUUUAUCUCCCCUGACGACUUUGCCAGGUGCCCUUCUCGGUCCAUCGCAACCAUUAACUAACCAUCAACUAUGUCAUUAAGUACCAGCACCCUUAAGGCAUUUAUGUAAACUAUGCUUUUGAACUGCAGAUUUUUCUAGCAAAGUUCUGGCGCCCCUGUAGCUGUCAUGUCUCACUGACCAGAGCUUACUCCUACAAAUAGUCCCGGCAGUCUAAGUGCCAUUUAUUUUAAUAAGUUCGUUUUACUUUGAUGGGAAAAUGGUGAGAGCGAGUGUCAUUAGAGCUAUUCGAUGAGAGCAGAAGUUACAGGGGGGUUGACAUAAAAAUCUGUUAAGUAAGUGCUGUAUACAUUGGAGCGUUUUCUUUGUCAUUGUAGUGAGUUGAGGUAGGUCUUGGUACGAAUGGUGUCUUGUGUCUGAUGUCUCGUGUGCGUCAUUCGUUCCACGUCAUUUAAAGCAGAAAAAGACGUCAUAUAUAAUGUGUGCGUCAUUUGUUCCACGUCACUUGAAGCAGAAAAAGACGUCAUAUACAAGAAAAAAGCAUUUGCUCUAAAAAUGGACAAGUGAGCGGGAAAAAAAAAAACAAAAACAACAACAACAACGGUCUUCAUCCGCCAUCUUCUUUAUGACUCUCUCAGUGACAUUCCUCUGAACUUGCGCCUCUUCCACUCGAUUCAUCUACAAAUCUCUUUAUCGUCAUCCUCAUCUACGGGGGGCUCGUCGAGCGUUGUAUGUGACACGUCGUGCAUAUGAAAGCCGGAUCCCGCUGUACUUCGAGAGGUGUCUGAGUUCCUUUUGUUGGAUCUUGUAACCUGACGAUGGAGGUUUCACAGAGGACUGUGGAAUGGAGAUGGACGCCACCCUCAUCUACAGAAGGAUCCGUGUACAGUGAAGUUUCUAACACCUCACUCCUUCACAUCCAGAAAAGAGUUAGAGGACGGCUUUUACCUUUACAGAUAAGGAAUUUUGCGUUUGUUUAUUGUAUAGGUUUUGUUGGUCUGUGAGAGAGUUCACGGCAUGAGUUGGUGUUGAUUUGAUUGCUCUUGUGUUGUUUGUUCUUCUGGAUCUUACUAAUGUCGUUCAAUU